rnacentral:rRNA from 1 species
CAGUGAAGUAUUCAACGGCCGCGGUAUCCUAACCGUGCAAAGGUAGCGUAAUCACUUGUCUUCUAAAUAGAGACCUGUAUGAACGGCUAAAUGAGGACUAAACUGUCUCCUUUAACUAAUCAGUGAAACUGAUCUACCAGUACAAAAGCUGGUAUACACACAUAAGACGAGAAGACCCUGUGGAGCUUUAAACCAAGAGCCAAACAAGACUACCAUUCCUAGUCCAUGACUAACAGUUUUAAGUUGGGGCGACUUCGGAACAAAACCAAACUUCCGAGCAUACAGAAAAUUAAUCUAACCAAGGCCAACAAGCCAAAGAACAAUUGACCCAGUAAUACUGAUCAUCGAACCAAGUUACCCCAGGGAUAACAGCGCCAUCUUCUUUAAGAGUCCAUAUCGACGAGAAGGUUUACGACCUCGAUGUUGGAUCAGGACACCCAAAUGGUGCAGCCGCUAUUAAAGGUUCGUUUGUUCAACGAUUAACAGUCCUACGUGAU